rnacentral:rRNA from 1 species
GCUUUUGUACACACCGCCCGUCGCUACUACCGAUUGAAUGAUUUAGUGAGGUCUUCGGACUGGUACACGGCAUCGACUCUGUCGUUGCCGAUGCUACCGGAAAGAUGACCAAACUUGAUCAUUUAGAGGAAGUAAAAGUCGUAACAAGGUUUCUGUAGGUGAACCUGCGGAAGGAUCAUUA